rnacentral:lncRNA from 1 species
UCGGAUUCCAUCCCAUGAUACUUGGGCAGCAAUUGAAUUACUCCUGAUUUGAUUUCAAAGUGUCCUACAUUUUCAGGAAUAAUCAUGCAUGAAGGUUGACUAGUCCUAGUGGGAUGUAAAUAUUGUCGAAGUGUCAUAACUGGGGGUCUACCUUCAUCACCAUGGUGACUUCCUACAUCAUCAGGAAAAUUUGCCAUCUCACAAGGUGUGAGAUACUGCGAAGGAAUUUCAAG